rnacentral:tRNA from 1 species
GGCGGCGUGGCUCAGCUGGCUAGAGCAUGCGGUUCAUACCCGCAGGGUCGUUGGUUCAAGUCCAACCGCCGCUA